AUUGGGUCUAUGAUGCUACUUUACAAACUGCGUUAUCUAUCUGAACUUCCUUUUAUAAGGAUUGAAGACAUUUUUCCAUGCUGAGAUCCACU
rfam:Gossypium raimondii Chr12_contig_576, whole genome shotgun sequence.